UGCUGGAGGUAUCAGAAGUGCGAAUGCUGACAUAAGUAACGAUAAAGCGGGUGAAAAGCCCGCUCGCCGGAAGACCAAGGGUUCCUGUCCAACGUUAAUCGGGGCAGGGUGAGUCGACCCCUAAGGCGAGGCCGAAAGGCGUAGUCGAUGGGAAACAGGUUAAUAUUCCUGUACUUGGUGUUACUGCGAAGGGGGGACGGAGAAGGCUAUGUUAGCCGGGCGACGGUUGUCCCGGUUUAAGCAUGUAGGCUGGUUAUCCAGGCAAAUCCGGAUAAUCAAGGCUGAGGUGUGAUGACGAGGCACUACGGUGCUGAAGUAACAAAUGCCCUGCUUCCAGGAAAAGCCUCUAAGCAUCAGGUAACAUCAAAUCGUACCCCAAACCGACACAGGUGGUCAGGUAGAGAAUACCAAGGCGCUUGAGAGAACUCGGGUGAAGGAACUAGGCAAAAUGGUGCCGUAACUUCGGGAGAAGGCACGCUGGUGUGUAGGUGAAGCCCCUGCGGGUGGAGCUGAGACCAGUCGAAGAUACCAGCUGGCUGCAACUGUUUAUUAAAAACACAGCACUGUGCAAACACGAAAGUGGACGUAUACGGUGUGACGCCUGCCCGGUGCCGGAAGGUUAAUUGAUGGGGUUAUCCGUAAGGAGAAGCUCUUGAUCGAAGCCCCGGUAAACGGCGGCCGUAACUAUAACGGUCCUAAGGUAGCGAAAUUCCUUGUCGGGUAAGUUCCGACCUGCACGAAUGGCGUAAUGAUGGCCAGGCUGUCUCCACCCGAGACUCAGUGAAAUUGAACUCGCUGUGAAGAUGCAGUGUACCCGCGGCAAGACGGAAAGACCCCGUGAACCUUUACUAUAGCUUGACACUGAACAUUGAGCCUUGAUGUGUAGGAUAGGUGGGAGGCUUUGAAGCGUGGACGCCAGUCUGCGUGGAGCCAACCUUGAAAUACCACCCUUUAAUGUUUGAUGUUCUAACGUUGGCCCCUUACCGGGGUUGCGGACAGUGUCUGGUGGGUAGUUUGACUGGGGCGGUCUCCUCCCAAAGCGUAACGGAGGAGCACGAAGGUUAGCUAAUCCUGGUCGGACAUCAGGAGGUUAGUGCAAUGGCAUAAGCUAGCUUGACUGCGAGCGUGACGGCGCGAGCAGGUGCGAAAGCAGGUCAUAGUGAUCCGGUGGUUCUGAAUGGAAGGGCCAUCGCUCAACGGAUAAAAGGUACUCCGGGGAUAACAGGCUGAUACCGCCCAAGAGUUCAUAUCGACGGCGGUGUUUGGCACCUCGAUGUCGGCUCAUCACAUCCUGGGGCUGAAGUAGGUCCCAAGGGUAUGGCUGUUCGCCAUUUAAAGUGGUACGCGAGCUGGGUUUAGAACGUCGUGAGACAGUUCGGUCCCUAUCUGCCGUGGGCGCUGGAGAAUUGAGGGGGGCUGCUCCUAGUACGAGAGGACCGGAGUGGACGCAUCACUGGUGUUCGGGUUGUCAUGCCAAUGGCACUGCCCGGUAGCUAAAUGCGGAAGAGAUAAGUGCUGAAAGCAUCUAAGCACGAAACUUGCCCCGAGAUGAGUUCUCCCUGAGACUUUAAGUCUCCUGAAGGAACGUUGAAGACGACGACGUUGAUAGGCCGGGUGUGUAAGCGCAGCGAUGCGUUGAGCUAACCGGUACUAAUGAACCGUGAGGCUUAACCUUACAACGCCGAAG
rnacentral:rRNA from 1 species